AGGAAGGCAGAGAGGUUUGGAAGGAUGUUUGUCAUUUUGCUGCAGCACGUGAUAGAGCUUGAAAAUUUAAUGACCAGGUAUUUUAUGUCAUCGUGUGACUGAGGCAGGAAUAAUAUGAACAAAUGAAGAAUUCACUAAGGCAUUGGAAUGAGGGGCCAAGUGCCUGGAACAACACCAGUGGAGAGAAGCUGCUUUUAAUUUCUUCCUCCCUUGACUCAGCUCUCUGUAUUGAUGUGGGAAAGAUCUGGACAAGUACCAGGAUUUCUCUCCUGGGUGCUGGAAAGGUCUUUCCCCUGGACCUGACGACAAGAGGCAAUGUCACUGCAAAUGUUUCUGGAACAGCUGUGGUGCCCCUGAAACUACAGAAGACCAGCUGAUUCCUGCCAUGCCUCCCCAGCCAAGAGGCAGCACCUGAGGCCUGCCAGCUUCUCAGAUUCAUCAGAUGUCUGGAGAGAAACAAAGUGCCUGCCUCCUUUUUAUUGAGGAAAACUAUUUCUAAAAGUGCUCUGCUCAGGCCUGGUGUGUCAGAUUCCAGCCUUCCUCGCGCUUGCACAAAUACUUUGUCAACUUCACCAUGGUUCUUCACCAUAUGCCAUAAUCUACUCGGGCUGCACCAUGUGGCUGAGCUCAAGCUUGUUGCAGGAUCUUUGGCUUCUGCUUUCCUGACAAAGCCUGCUGGAUUUCAGGACCUCAGAGCAGCAGUCUUCAGGCUGUGGGAAACGUGGGUGAGUGCUGACUGGGAGGCAAGGCCGUGUCAGAGACCACCAACUCCUCCUCUAGGCAAGCUUCCCCUGCUCCAAGUGCAGUAGGGACCAGCUGGGCAGCAGUUCAAGGUCACUUUCAGAGCAGGCUGGGUCAAAGCAAUGGAAUCACAGUAUUUACUGCAAACACCAAGGCUUUGUGAGCUUUUCAGUGAAUGUUAGGAAGGAGGAGGAAGCUCUGAUAUUUGCACAAAAGGAGAAUACAGUGAUGCUGCCUAUGAAACUACCUUCAAAAUUGCCAGCAACUUUAAACAGGAGCAAAAGAUUAUGAGUUAUAAUGAGAACAGACUUCCUGAAAGCUCUUAGGUUGGGGCCCUGCCCACUGUGAGCAUGGCCUUGUCCCUUUUUUUCAAGACACUGUAAGAAGCACUGAUAAGUGUUUCUGUUCACUGUGGGAUGUGAUGCUGAGAACUGAGAUCCUCACCAGGUGGGAGCUGCUCAUGGGUCUUUAUUGGCAAAAGGACCUGGAUUCAAACAAGGCAAAUUGCAUGUCACAAGCAAUCCAAUGGGAGCAGUGGAGCUAUUCGUGGUGCCAGUGGGUGAAUAAGCAGAAAAGAUUUGAAGCCAGGAGAAACAAGUCCACGUAAUUCAAAUUGCAUUACAGUUUGCUUCAGGAUCUUUCUUACUUGAAAGACAGAAGUUGCCAUCCCUUCAUUUCGUGUAACAGUGUAAAAGUCAGAUUUGUUAAAUACCAUGGGGUGUUGUACUUUUAAGUACUUUGAAAAUACACCUGAUCAAACACUUCUCAUGUAAUUGACAAAAAGUUUUGGGACUUAAAAAGACUUUACACAUUACAGUAAAUUCUACAGUGCAGAGAGACCAAGAAGCUGUAAUUUGUUGGGUACACGGUUUGAUGUGUACACUCCUGUAUUAAAAAUGCCCUUCUGAGCUUAAAAACUCAGGGCCCUUUUCACACCAUGUGUUUCCUUGUGACCCUCAUCCAUGCUUCUGCCUACUCUUCAAUCCUUUUAGUGACACCUAGUGAAAUUUGUGGAAAGUGCAGCAUGCCUUUCACAAUUAAAUGCUGAAGUACUGCAUCUUAGUUAUUGCCACUUAACCUGCUGCCAUUAAAGACUGAUACCAGAUGCACUUCGGCCAUUUAAAAAUUAAGUUUGCAUUCGUAGUAUGGUCAAACACCUUACAUGUUUGAUGCAUGGAGUUAACUUACUCUCUGCUCCUCUUAACUUUGUGUACGUGUUUAGAACUGCACUGUUAUCUUAAAUCGUCUUCUAGUAUUGUCACUGUUGUUCCUCUGGAGCACUCCACUGGAAACUGCAAGUAUUCCAAAUUCUGUGCAAAAAACCAAACUCUUGCAGGAGCUUAAACUACAUGUUUUUAAUAUUUGAUAUUCAGGAUACAUAUACUGAGUCCUGAGCUUACUUGUAACAGUCAGUCAAAUUUUGUCCACUCAGUGCUCUGGAUCAACCCAGGAUGGAUGUGAAGCACUCUUUCAUCAGCAAAUGAAAUUUUCUGUAGAAAUGGAAAACGUAUGCCCACUAUAUAGAAAGUAGGCUAAAGACUUCAAAGGAAGAGCUUCCUCUUCAGCGAGAGCAUUCAUAUGCAAUAGCUUUUGAACAUGUAACCUCUUCUUUCUCAGAGUACAAAAACAAGUGGCUUCCGUGAGGUUUAUGUUGGUAUGGAUUUCAGCUGUGCAAACUAUAUGGCAACCAGUACAAACUGGGCUCAUAAAGAUUUGGAAAAAAAAUAGAAAAAGGCUUCAAACAAGCCAAUAUUCAAUGAUUGGAACUAGUUCAAAAAAAAAAACCCUAGGCCUUACUUGAUAUAAAAGGCUUGGACCUCUCAAAAUAAACAGCCAAUUAAGUCAGAUUCUGAACAGGAGGAUCUGAAGCACCAACAGGAAAGUCUGAAUGCUCACUGCAGAAAGUUCAGUUGUGUCACCGAGCAUGUAGUCAUCCAGCCAGUACAUGUAAGAUGCCCACCAUCUCCAAACAAGCUUCCAGGCUGCUAGUUCAGAUCUGGUGUUUCAUCAUCCUUCUCCCAGCUACCUUUUCAGAAGUUAUAAAAUAAAGACUUAAGAGAAAAAUUAAAGUACACUGACAGCAACAGUUCAAACAUUUUACUAAAUCAAUUCACAUGAUUUCAAAAUUGUAAAUAUAAUUAAGAACAACAGGGUUUCUGUUAUCUUUUCUUCCAGAUUUAUCAUUAAGACAAUAAACAAACACAAAUUAGGUUUAUAGCAUCUGUUCUUUUAAAAAAUGAAAGGAACGCCACUCAAUGUAUUGAUAAAGCACCACAACACAGUUACAAAAUAGGGUUGGCCUGUUUCUUUCACAAGUAAAAGACUACAUAUUCCUAACAGCUUUCUGCUUCAACCAUACUUCAUUAAAAUAAAACUAUAAAAUCUCCUAGAUUACACUAAGUUCAGACGAUGCCUGGUAUACAGUGCAUUAACAGCAGUAAUGCCAACUAUCAGUGCCAACAUAAAACAUUUUAGAAAG